UACGAAGGGUGCUAGCGUUGUUCGGAAUCACUGGGCGUAAAGCGCGCGUAGGCGGCCAAUCAAGUCAGGGGUGAAAUGCCACGGCUCAACCGUGGAACUGCCUUUGAAACUGAUUGGCUGGAAGAUGAGAGGGGAUAGCGGAAUUUCUGGUGUAGAGGUGAAAUUCGUAGAUACCAGAAGGAGCACCGGUGGCGAAGGCGGCUAUCUGGCUCAUUCUUGACGCUCUGGCGCGAAAGCGUGGGGAUCAAACAGG
rnacentral:rRNA from 1 species